rnacentral:rRNA from 1 species
AGUGAACGCUGGCGGUAGGCCUAACACAUGCAAGUCGAACGGCAGCACAGUAAGAGCUUGCUCUUACGGGUGGCGAGUGGCGGACGGGUGAGGAAUACAUCGGAAUCUACUUUUUCGUGGGGGAUAACGUAGGGAAACUUACGCUAGUACCGCAUACGACCUACGGGUGAAAGCAGGGGAUCUUCGGACCUUGCGCGAUUGAAUGAGCCGAUGUCGGAUUAGCUAGUUGGCGGGGUAAAGGCCCACCAAGGCGACGAUCCGUAGCUGGUCUGAGAGGAUGAUCAGCCACACUGGAACUGAGACACGGUCCAGACUCCUACGGGAGGCAGCAGUGGGGAAUAUUGGACAAUGGGCGCAAGCCUGAUCCAGCCAUACCGCGUGGGUGAAGAGGGCCUUCGGGUUGUAAAGCCCUUUUGUUGGGAAAGAAAAGCAGCAGGUUAAUACCCCGCUGUUCUGACGGUACCCAAAGAAUAAGCACCGGCUAACUUCGUG